GAAACAAGACAGACAGACAAAUGAGCACAUUUUUCAGAUGUAAUUAUAAUUGAUAAUGUUGUUCAUUCACCUUUUCUUUAACAAAGCGCUAAAGUCCAGCUCUCCCGAGUCUUCUUUUCCAUCGCAGCUACUGCAAAGACAUCAACAUACCAACAGGUUACACAGGAAAAUAACUAUGUUGUUUUUUUUUUUGGCUGCUGCAGAUUCAGAAAAGCAGCGGGCUUUAUUAUUAGCCUGAUGAGCAUUUCCUAGCAUCGGUUAGCACUUCCUGUCAGAGUCAGAUUCAUCAUCAGUGAAGAAUCGGGAUGAACCUCCAAAUCUCCACUACCUUAUCGAGGCUCCACUUCUCUUCUUGCCGCCCUCAUUCCUGAUAGUGACCUCUCCAGACUGCGGUUUCUCAGUGAAGAGGCCAGUCAGGUCCUGCCUUGUGUCCGAAGCCUGUCCAUCUAGAAAAACAGGGCAAAAACAGAUUAAUCAUCAGCCCACCUUCAGUUGUGGCAGCAGCGGUCUCAUCUUUCUGCGAUCCAUCUGCGGGGGCAGCAGUGGUCUCUGUCUCUGCACUCGGCUGCAUAGGUGCUUCUGCAGGUGUCUCGGCAGGUGUCUCGCCAGGAGUUGCUGCAGCUACCCCACUCUGACCCUCGGCCGUACCGAGCUCUCCUGGGAUGUAGGGCAGCCGGUCUCUGCACUCUUCGUCAGACACCUCCAGAGCUCUGUUGUCUUCAUCGUCUGAGCUGCGCUGUGAGAUCUGAG